UGCCAGCAGUGCCACUAGAAGUUGCAAAAUUCAUGGAAAUAUUCGCUUCAGGAAUGAUGGUAGAUAAGGAGUUAGAGAAGAAAGAAGAUUGUGAAGUUGAGAAACCUUGGAAUGAAAAAGUUGGGCCUACAGCUAACAUAUGCAAUGAUGAAGGGGAAAGUUCCCCAAUGAAGGAUGGAAAUCCCUUGCUCUCUAUUUUUGAAUUGGAAUUUGACCAAAAAGGUCCCAAGAAAC